GUCAGGAUGGCCGAGCGGUCUAAGGCGCCAGACUCAAGGUACAUGUAAUGCACCUUAACCAGAGCAUUGAGUAUUCUGGUCCACGAAUGUGGGCGUGGGUUCGAAUCCCACUUCUGACA
rfam:Octopus bimaculoides Scaffold26044_contig_56, whole genome shotgun sequence.